CAGCAGCCGCGGUAAAACGGAGGGUGCAAGCGUUACUCGGAAUCACUGGGCGUAAAGGACGCGUAGGCGGAUUAUCAAGUCUCUUGUGAAAUCUAACGGCUCAACCGUUAAACUGCUUGGGAAACUGAUAAUCUAGAGUAAGGGAGAGGCAGAUGGAAUUCUUGGUGUAGGGGUAAAAUCCGUAGAUAUCAAGAAGAAUACCUAUUGCGAAGGCGAUCUGCUGGAACUUAACUGACGCUAAUGCGUGAAAGCGUGGGGAGCAAACAGGAUUAGAUACCCCCGUAGUCCCUGUCUCUUAUAC
rnacentral:rRNA from 1 species